UGUGGCUGUAACUUUUGCAUUUCAUGAUACAAAGUUUCUGCUUAGCACAAACCUUAGAAAUUUGAACAUUGUAUUCCUUUUAGCUUAUUGAGUCCAGUAUUUCCAACAUUUUACUUACAAGAAGCACUUGGGUACACUUAAUUGCCAAAGUCAGUACUUUUUAUCUUUGGAGCCACUGUUGAGAAAACUGAGAGCUACUUGAACUUAAGCCUUGAACUCCGAUGACAGCCUGUGUGAAAUGCAACUACUCAGGGACUAAUGGGAGGAUGGAGUGAGUAUAUAGUGGAGACACUGCAUGAAGGGGAACACAGUGAAGCCAUGUCUGUUUUCAUUUGCCAUUUUAGCUAUGGCAACAAGCAAUGUCCCCAGCACAUGGGAUGAUUUUGCUGGAUCUUGGAUAUCAAAGUAUAAAACCAUGGACUGGCAGGUUCUUACCCAUGAGCUUUGGGUGGCUCUGACACAUGAUGAGUGGUCAUGUGAGGAUGAUGCAAUCAUUUUCUCUGACUUUGGCCUCUGCCUUUUCUGGAUGAAUUUGACACUGAAGGCUUCAUUUGAAGACGAGGCUGUGGAGGCCAACUUAACCAUCCUGCCUUUUCUAAGCAUCAUGCUCUGGGUCUUACUAAAGGCCCAACCAAAGCUGUAAUCCCAGUAGGUUUCUUAGCCAACAAAAAUAAGCAAUGGACAGUCUAAAUAGAAAGAAUAUUUCAAAAUUCAUGUGUUAAAUGAUCAAAUAGUGAUUAUCUAUUGCAGUCCUAAAAUAUGUUAUUUAUUUGUAUUAGAAGUCUUGGUUUGUGGCCUGGGGAAAUGGCUCAGUGAAUGAAGUGUUGGCUGUACAAGCAUGAGGACCUGGCUUUAGAACCUCAAGACCCACAGAAAAGCCAUGUUUUGUGGCUACCAUCCUACCAUUCUACCAUAUCUACCAUCUUGAUGUUGGGGAGACAGAAAGCUGCUGGAGCCAGGCCAAAUGGACUUCUGGUUCUUGUACUGUGCUAAUCAGUGUAACUGUGGGUGUAUGCUGCCAAACUAACUGCACAACUAGAUUUUUGACUUUUUAAUGACAAUAGCGUUUUCUUCUACGGUGUCAACUAGAAUGAUAGAAUUAUUUUUGGAGAAGGGUAGAGGGCAACAACUGCAAGACAAGUGAAAAAAUUCCUUUCUCUCUGAUUUUUUCCCAUCAGUUUCAUCCCUUCUGUGGGAGCUUGGGGUGGAGGG
rnacentral:lncRNA from 1 species